UUUAGGUAGCGCCUCGUGAAUUCAUCUCCGGGGGUAGAGCACUGUUUCGGCAAGGGGGUCAUCCCGACUUACCAACCCGAUGCAAACUACGAAUACCGGAGAAUGUUAUCACGGGAGACACACGGCGGGUGCUAACGUCCGUCGUGAAGAGGGAAACAACCCAGACCGCCAGCUAAGGUCCCAAAGUCAUGGUUAAGUGGGAAACGAUGUGGGAAGGCCCAGACAGCCAGGAUGUUGGCUUAGAAGCAGCCAUCAUUUAAAGAAAGCGUAAUAGCUCACUGGUCGAGUCGGCCUGCGCGGAAGAUGUAACGGGGCUAAACCAUGCACCGAAGCUGCGGCAGCGACGCUUAUGCGUUGUUGGGUAGGGGAGCGUUCUGUAAGCCUGCGAAGGUGUGCUGUGAGGCAUGCUGGAGGUAUCAGAAGUGCGAAUGCUGACAUAAGUAACGAUAAAGCGGGUGAAAAGCCCGCUCGCCGGAAGACCAAGGGUUCCUGUCCAACGUUAAUCGGGGCAGGGUGAGUCGACCCCUAAGGCGAGGCCGAAAGGCGUAGUCGAUGGGAAACAGGUUAAUAUUCCUGUACUUGGUGUUACUGCGAAGGGGGGACGGAGAAGGCUAUGUUGGCCGGGCGACGGUUGUCCCGGUU
rnacentral:rRNA from 1 species